rnacentral:rRNA from 1 species
AAUUAACGCUGGCAGCGUGCAUAACACAUGCAAGUCGAACGAGACCGUUUGAGAUUAUAUCAAUGACGGUUGAGUGGCAGACGAGUGAGUAACACGUAAGAAAUCUACCCUGAAGUGGGGAACAACUUGCUGAAAGGCGAGCUAAUACCCCAUAGUGUUGUCGGCCGACAUCGGUUGACUCCUAAAGGCUUCGGCCGCUACAGGAUGAUCUUGCGACCUAUCAGCUAGUUGGUGAGGUAACGGCCCACCAAGGCUAUGACGGGUAUCCGGCCUGAAAGGGCGAACGGACACGGAGGCACUGAGACACGGGCCUCACUCCUACGGGAGGCAGCAGUGGGAAUCUUGGACAAUGGGGAAACCCUGAUCCAGCAACGCUGCGUGAAGGAUGAAGGCCUCGGU